rnacentral:rRNA from 1 species
ACCCGGUAGACGCGGGUAAGCCUGCCGGUGGCCCACGAAAACUCUGUUUAAUAUUGAAACUCUGAAUCUAUAACUAAAUAAGUUAAAACUUUCAACAACGGAUCUCUUGGUUCUGGCAUCGAUGAAGAACGCAGCGAAAUGCGAUAAGUAAUGUGAAUUGCAGAAUUCAGUGAAUCAUCGAAUCUUUGAACGCACAUUGCGCCCAUUAGUAUUCUAGUGGGCAUGCCUGUUCGAGCGUCAUUUCAACCCUUAAGCCCUCGUUGCUUAGUGUUGGGAACAUACAGCGAUGUAGUUCCUCAAAGUUAGUGGCGGAGUCGGUUCACACUCUAGGCGUAGUAAAUUUUAUCUCGUCUUUGUAGUUGGAUCGUCCCCGGCCGUAAAACACCCCAAUUUCUAAAGGUUGACCUCGGAUCAGGUAGGAAUACCCGCUGAACUUAAGCAUAUCAAUAAGCGGAGGAAAAGAAACCAACAGGGAUUGCCCUAGUAACGGCGAGUGAAGCGGCAACAGCUCAAAUUUGAAAUCUGGCCUUCGGGUCCGAGUUGUAAUUUGUAGAGGAUGCUUUUGGCGCGGUGCCUUCCGAGUUCCCUGGAACGGGACGCCUUAGAGGGUGAGAGCCCCGUACGGUUGGACACCAAGCCUCUGUAAAGCUCCUUCGACGAGUCGAGUAGUUUGGGAAUGCUGCUCUAAAUGGGAGGUAAAUUUCUUCUAAAGCUAAAUAUUGGCCAGAGACCGAUAGCGCACAAGUAGAGUGAUCGAAAGAUGAAAAGCACUUUGAAAAGAGGGUUAAAUAGCACGUGAAAUUGUUGAAAGGGAAGCGUUUGCGACCAGACCUUUUCCUAGCGGAUCAUCCGGUGUUCUCACCGGUGCACUUCGCUAGGUCGAGGCCAGCAUCGGUUUUCGUGGGGGGAUAAAAGCCUUGGGA